GACGAACGCUGGCGGCGUGGAUUAGGCAUGCAAGUCGAACGGUAUCAUCCUUUCGGGGGUGAGAGAGUGGCGAACUGGUGAGUAACACGUAGGUUAUCUACCCUCAAGACGGGGACAACCCAGGGAAACUUGGGCUAAUACCGGAUGUGAGCAACUUUUAGUUGUUUGAAAGGUGGCGUAAGCUGUCGCUUGGGGAUGAGCCUGCGUCCUAUUAGUUAGUUGGUGAGGUAACGGCUCACCUAGGCAAUGAUAGGUAGGCGGCCUUAACGGGUGGUCGCCCACACUGGGAUUGAGAUACGGCCCAGACUCCUACGGGAGGCAGCAGUCGAGAAUAGUCUACAAUGGUCGGAAGACUGAUAGGCGACGCCGCGUGAACGAUGAAUCCCUUCGGGGUGUAAAGUUCUUUUAUAUGUGAGCAGUGCUUCUUAUAUUAACAGUAUGGGGAGAGAGAUAUUAGCAUAUGAAUAAGCAACGGCUAACUCCGUGCCAGCAGCCGCGGU
rnacentral:rRNA from 1 species